AAAACACCCACCUCAUGACAAAACAUGUAUGAAAAUGUCACAAAACCUCUUCUUUUGUCUACUGGGGACACAAAGGUCCUUGCACUCAGAGAGCACUAGGGAACCAGGAAUGUUAAACAUACAAGGGUCCUCCUCAAAGGAGGAGAUAAAAUACCUAUUUUCCAACCAAAGGGUUGGGAGUGGAUAUUGUUAAUGACCUGAUGACUUUUUACUCUCUUUAGAUGCAUAAAUGCCUCAUCCACCUUUUGCUAUAGAGACAGACCUCACCCAUUCCCUGGAACUCUCUCUAUCCCAGACUCUCCUUCCCUACCCUCACCUUUAUCUCCCAGUUAACAGAGCCCAUCCUUAGGAGAGAUGUCACGCGUAUUCUACAGCUUGCUGACCUCUAUAGUCUCUUGACCAGAGACCACACUGGAUUCUAGACCUUUUAGCUAUAGCUCCACCGUCACGGUCACAUGUACUUUCCAAAGGACUCACUAUGUGGUCACACCUUAAGCUUUAUCUUGCUUCUGGAACAGGAAUGAUUGUAGCCUAGAAACCUUUUCCCAGACUGACUGCACCAUGUUUUCAAUAUGCAGACAGUGAAACACCUGACAUCAGACUCCCAAGUCUGAUCCACGUUGACAAAGUCAAUCUGCACCAGGAUUUUGUUCUCGUCUCUUCGAGAUUCACUUCCCUGGCUAGAUACUUGCAGGGUUCACCCUGGUGUCUACACACACUGGGGGACUGAUUAGAGCUGCUAGUUCUAGCCCUCAGAACUAUUCCUUACCCACCUCAAAGUUGGAACUAACAUCUUGCAACUAAAGGAAAAAAAAAAUCAAUCUAUUAACUUACAGAUCCCUAGCUUCCCCUAACUUAAGCGCUCAGGUAGUAUCCCGGAUCUAUAAAGUCUGCCCACAUCUUUCUGAACCCGCUUCUGAAAUAACUAGUAACCCAUUUUAAACUUGCCUUGAUUUAUGACUUCGUUCUGUAAAACUUUGAAACUGCUUCCUCACUGGGACAUGGAAUUUGGGGUGACUUCAAUCUGUGUUCCUGGGACCCAUAGCCACUCAAAAUGACCCCUGAGUAAACUCUUAUUUCCGUUAAGAUGAGAGCUAUGGUUUCGUGUGGACACAUCUAAACAAAUAAAGAUUAGAACGGCAAACUUCCCAAGGACAGUAUGUCAUGGGCUUUGAGGGCAGGGCAUCCCAUGGGCUCCAGUGUGAGCUGUGACAGGGAGAGAGAGGCGUGGCCAGGAGGAAACCACUUGUAGAAAGUUUGUGUGCGUUGAACACAAAGCCAGUUGUGGCCUCACUGUCAAGGCACACCUGGCCACAUUGGUGCUGAUAUGGCAGUAAAUCACCUAUCCAGUUCCAGCCGGUGCCAGGAAGAUGUCUUCCGGGUGCCCUGACUGCUGACUUCCUGGAGGCAUGGCCGAGCUGAUCUCCGCAGGCCAGAACACCCAGUGGGGUUCUGAGUCAAGUUUCUCAUUCUUGGGAUGACCUUGAUCCUUGGAGAGACUGGGGUGAGGAGGAGGUGGCAGGUGACAAGCUCAACCGGCCCAACAGGAAUCUCAGACACUGAGCACUCCCUGUGCCUUGCUUCUGCAACCUUUGGGGUAUGGCCGGCAGCCCAGAUGCUCGACAUCUUCCCCUCGGUUCUCCCAAGGCCCUGAACAAACUCACGGGCUCCAGCUUGGGGGUUUCCAUGGUGUGGCAGUAGGAACCAGGACCUGGUUGGUCUUAGUGCUUCUGCUGUGACCGCAGGUGGUACCAUGGAUGUGACUUUUCCUUCUCAUCUGGCUGGAGACGCUCCUCUCUAAGGAGCUGUCUUAGAGACUUUUCCCUGCUGCUACCAGCCACCAUGAUGACCGAAGCAUAGCGUCGACAGCUGGUCUCAUCCUCAGUCAGGAAGCAGAGAGUAACAGGAAGCUGGUCUAUAAAACUCCACCCACUUCCUCCAGCCGGGCCUCGCCUCCCAAAGAUUUCAUAAGCUUUCGAAACAGUGCCACCAGAAGGGGGAUCAAAUGUUCUGACACGGGAACCUGUGGGGGACAGGUCACAGUUCAAACCAGGGCAGGUGUGAAGAGAAUGCUCCUGCUAGAGGUAGAUUGAUAAGCGGCCUACAGUGAGGGUCCUCUGCCCUUGUUGCCUGCAUGCCUGGUGCAGAUGCUGCAACUCUGCACUGAGGUGGCAGCGCCGGCACUGGUGCCAUCUUUAGAACAAGAAGCCAGAGCUCAGGAAGGCUCGAUACAGCUUCCAAGGUCCCACAUCUGGCUAAUGAUGAAGAGGAUGGGGACCUUUCUCCCCAGGCUACAAGUCAACUGAGGUCGCUAAAUCCUGACCCAAUCCCAGGCUAAAACUGAGCUCAGCCUGAUGUUGGGGCACACGCAGUUCUUACAGAAACUUUUCCUAACCUGCAUCUUUCUGCUCCUGUAACCACAAGGCUUUCUAUUCCCCGAUCAAACACCGUGUGAAACUCCUGUGCCCUAUCCUUAUUAAAACAGUCAUGUCUUGUCAUGCUUGGUAACAGCCAUUGUGACUACAUCAACAGGAACUUCCAAACUUCUGGUUUUACCUUUAUAAACUCAGCUUAGCGUGACCCCAGGCUUGUCUCCAUGAGGGCCUGCGAAAGGCUCAGUCUGUGAGGCUCGUCCUGGUCUCCUUCUCUUGAUGAGAACAGCCCAGCUACAGCAGUGCCACUGGGGAAAGUGUCAAGUGCCCCCAUGUCCCAGUGGUUUCAAGGUGCUUGCAGGAGUCAGCUUUCCCUGAAACCUCAGUCAGUGUGCUAAUGAAGCAGGGCCUAUGGAGGCUGUAGGAGGCGGGUAGCAGAGAAAGGAAAAGAGAACCUAUGUCUCCUGCCUCUCCCCUCUGUCAUCUGUCCUGAGGUGGUUCAGUGGACAGCUGGUCACUAGGGCACAAGCUCCUGUUUUCCAGCCCUAGCUAGAACAUCCCUGUGCAGGCAAGGUAGUGUUUUCCUUCGUGCUUAUUCAUCCAGAGUCCUUUGUAAGAUCUGCAAAGUGGACAGGUUAGAGAGAGAACAAAGAAACUCAUUAGCAGGCGCAUUGUGCACCCACAGAGGAGUACUCAGACCUGGGCUCAUGGGCCCAAGAAGUCCACCCACCCUCCCCUGAGAAUAUACGCAUAGCUUGAGCCUCUUCUGCCGCUCAGCACCUACCGUCCGUCCAGCUUGCCUCAGUCUCAGGACACAAGUCAGGAUUAAAUCGUAGGGUUUAAAGUCGGAGGGAGCAGGAAUUAGGUCAAAUGCAGGGUCUCUCUGAUACCUGUGAAAUUGUCUGAUGGGGGAAGCCAGUGUUGGCUACUCUCUCUGAACUGCCUCCAUCAUCCUGGCCUGUGAUAUUUAGUUUUUAUGUCAGCUUUACACAAGCUAUAGUCUUUCUAAAGGAGGAAAUUUCAGUUGAGUCAAUGUCUCUAGAGAAUCCAUCGGCAGGCAAGCCCGAAGAGCAUUUUCUUAAUUAGUGAUCAUUAAGGGGAGGACCCUGCCCCUUGUGGGUGGUGCUAUCCCUGGGCUGGUGGUCCUGGCUUCUGUAAGAAAGCAGGCUGAACAAGGCAAGGGGAGCGAGGCAGUAAGAGCAGCCUCCAGGCCCCUGGAUCAGCUCCUGCCUCUAGUUCCUGUCUGACUUCUUUUACUGGUGGACUAUGAUGUGAAAGUGUAAGUUAAGUUAACCCUUUCCUCCCUGUCUUUGUUUGGUUGUGGUGUUCAUCAUAGCAGUAGUAACUCUGUCUAAGACGGGGCCUCAAGAAAGCGGGUCCUGGGAUGACAUAGCCCAGCUAGCAGAGGCUUGAUGACCAGAGGUUUUUUUGUUUAUAUUGUUGUUAUUAACUUAUUUUCUUUUUAUUUAACAUUUUUAUUCAUUUUACAUCCCAGUCACAGCACCUGUCCCUCCUCUCUUCCCAGUCCCACCCUUCCCACAUUGCCCCCACCCCUAUUCCUCAGAGAAGGGGGCCUACCUUAAGUACCAUGCCACCCUGGGGCAUCUGGUCCUAGGAGGGUCCAGGCACAUUCUUUCCUACUGAAUCUGGACAGUCUUGUGGAAGAGUGGGGAUAGAACUGAGCAACUCAGAGGGGUCAAGGGCACCACAGAGUCAACUAACCUGGGACCAUGGGGCUCAGAGAAGCUACGCUACCAACCAGGGAACAUGCAGGAGCUGGAACAGGUCCCCUACAUGUCUCUAGGUGACCAGAGUUUAAUCCCAGAUCAUACAAGGUGCCCGGAGACUCUCUCAAGAGUUGUCACCUGAUUUCCACUUGCACAUGCACGCUAUGGCUCAGAUGCACCUGCACACACACACACACACACACGAGUCUUAGGGUUUCCUAACUAAGUGUGAAGAGACACUAUGACCAAGGCAACUCUUACAAGGACAACAUUGAAUUAGGGCUACCUUACAGAUUCUAAGGUUCAACCCAUUUAUCAUCAUGGCAGGAAGCAUGACAGUAUCUGAGCAGGCAUGUUCCAGGAGAGCUAAGAGUUCUACAUCUUGAUCCAAAGGCAGUCAAGAGCAGUAUGUCUUCCAGGUAGCUAGGAGGAGAGUCUCAAAGCCCACCCCCUAAUAAGGCCAUACUACAUCAGCCUCCCUGAUGAGCCAUGAUGGCCCAGGCUCUGGACAGCAUCUCACAAGCACCUUGGUGGCAUUUUCUUGUUGUGUUUCCAACCUUGCUCACCCUGGGCUUCAUUUUGUGGGUUAGAACAGGAUUUCAUUACGUUUCCUAGGAUUCAACCCCCAGGCUCAGAUAAUUCUCCCACCUUAACCUCACUAGCAGGAACCACGGGUAAAUGCCACUGCAUCUGCUCAGUCACCCACACAUCUCUUGGGACAUAUGAUGGCCCCUCUGGCUGCCAUGAUCCUGCCUCCAAAAGUGCUGGCAUAUAAACGCCCCAUUUUGGCAAUUUCCAGUUCAUCAAAACAUUCUUCAUGUUUGUGUGCUGCCUCCGAGGACAAGUGGGUACUUUGGGACUCUGAUUCUGGGGAACUGGACUUGUGCCCCAGUGUUGGGUCCUGUGAUGGUAACCAUAUGCGGUGCUUGAUUUACUGUGUCUCAAUUAGGGUUUUACUGCUGUGAACAGACACCAUGACCUUAUAAGGCAACUCUUAUAAGGACAACAUUUAAUUGGAUCUGGCUUAGAGGUUCAGAGGUUCAGUCCAUUAUCAUCAAGGUGAGAACAUGGCAGCAUCCAGGCAGGAAUGGUGCAGGAGGAGCUGAGAGUUCUACAUCUUCAUCUGAAGGCUGCUAGCAGAAUACUGACUUCCAGGCAGCUAGGAUGAGGGUGUUAAAGCCCAUACCCACAGUGACAUACCUCCUCCAACAGGGCCACACUAUAAUAGUGCCACUCCCUGGGCCAAACAUAUACAAACCAUCACACUCUGCGUAGGUUAUUUCAUGCCUGUUAUAUAGAGGCCGGAAGAAUGACCAUAUCAGAGUGUCAGGCUUCUCUCUGUCUCACUGUGAAACCUGAACAAUUUUUAUGGAGCCAGACACGAAUGAUUCUUGGGGACUGUGUAGUAUGGUGGUCACACUGCUUGCAGUGUUAUUUGAAGCUUUGCCUCUACUCUUCACCAGUCAUGUGACUUGGACCAGACAUAGACGCUCCUUAAGGUUCUUAAGUACAUGUAGGUAUGUGGCUGCAAGUGACAACAGGGUAACACUCGCAUAUGUAAGUGACUGUUUUACAGUGAGUGAGCAAUGAGGUGUGUGUGUUUGGGUUGAAUGUGUGCAUACAUUUGUAUCAGUUCACUGUCACGGAGAAAACUUGGUCCCAGAGCCCAUUAACCUGAUUUUUUUCCCUUUAGGAAUGACUCGAAUGCAUAACACCCAUGUCUUUCUCAAUAGAAGAGACUUAGCUUUCAGGCUACUGUUGUGUUUCCUCUUUACGCUGGGGACCCAGCUCUGUGGGUUCCCUGAAGCCAAUGCAGGGAAGCACCUCCCGAGAACUUCCCAGCAUCAGAGCCGUAUGUUGCCAUGUUGUGUAUCAGGGUUGUCGCUCCUCAAUAGGCAUAUCAGGGUUGUCAUUCCUCAAUAGGCAUCGUUACAAUCCGCACCCACCUGGUUCUCCUUGCAGAGAUGUGUAAUUAGGAGCUUUCAUAGCAUAGUUCCCAUCUGGCUCCAGCUGAGACAGACUUCAUCAUGCUUAUAAUUAUAGGACUCAAGCCUGCUGCUGCAAAGUGGGGGUUGAUGCAUGGGUCUGUGUUCCCAGAGAGGAGGAGCAAUUAUGACAGAGAGGCCAGUGCUUCCCAGAGCUCAAUCCCUGAGCUCAGGAUCUACCCCUGACAGGGAUGGCCUGUGUGGUCAAAGACAUGAGAAGCUGUGUUAAAAGAAGAGAAGUAAGUGCUGAUCUAGAAGUGUAUGUUCCUGGGGCCUCGAAGAUUUCAGGCCAUUUAAUUUUGGCUGAUUUGGGAAGGGAUGGGUCACUGUCCUGAACUGUGACAAUGGCCUCCAAGGCUUCAGGAUACAAGGAGGUGCAUUUGUAGGAGCAACACCAGCCGCCAUAUUGAGCUGCCUUCUGAGAAGCACUUUCUGUGUCUCAGCCCUUCCAUCAGUCUGGAAAAGAGGGAGGAAAGAGAGAUCAUUUGCUCCCGGUCUGUAGAGAACACAGGAUCACAGGGUGUCCAUGACAGCAGAGACUAGACAUGGCACCCUGCAUGGUACCCAGGAGGAAGGGAGGUAGCUUAGGUAGACACACCCCAAAGCCACAUGCUCGGCAGGGCUUCGGUCUUGUCAGUCAGUCACCCUGAACCCGAGUUCCUGCUUUUUGGACUGACUUUUCCAAAUACUAGGGUCCUCUCAAUGCCAAACAAGGACUUGCUGUAAGUUGUCUCUGUUAUGCUUGCAGACAGGAGUCUAUCAUGUCCUCUGAGAGGCUCCAACAGCUGUGGAUCAGACAGAUGCAAACAUCCACAACCAAACAGUGGAUGGAGCUUGGGGACUCUUACAGAAGAAUAGGAGGAAGGAUUGCAGCCCCUAAGGGGAUCAGAACUCCACAGGAAGACCACCAGCAUCAACUAACCUGGACCCUUGGGGCUCUCAGGGUCUGAACCACAAACCAAAAAACAUACACAGGCUGGCCCUAGGCCUCCCUGCACAUAUAUAGCAGAUGUGUAGCUUGGUCUUCAUGUGGUUCCUGAGUGAUAGUGAUAGGGGCUAUUCUAAAAGCUGUUGCCUGUAUGCAGGGUAUGUUCUUCUAGCUAGGCUGCCUUCUCAGGCCUCAGUGGGAAAGGAAGUACGAAGUCUUAUAGAGACUUGAAAUUUGAGGGAUGAGGACUACCCUGGAGGACCCCCACCCAUUCAGAGAAAAAGGACAUGGGAUGGCAUCAGGCCUCUUCACAGGCCCUGUUGCCCUGCCCCAAGUGUGAUCUCCACAUCCUGGAUGGAAGAUUUUGAGCUUAUGAUGUUAAAAAGGUCACAGAGUAGACUGACUGGCUCUCUCUGCAUGUCUGUUCUUGGCAAAGUGGUCCCAAGCCAUUCUUGAAAGACAACCAGUAUACCUUGUGAUUGCAUGAGAGUGUGUCUGAGUCUGUCAAGGCCCUGGGGUUUCAUUUCCCUCAGAGGAGAGAUGCUACCUCCAUGAAAGACUGGUGAGAAUGGAGGGAAGAACAUGUCUGCACAAGACCAGUGGUGGGGAAUGGAAUGGUGGAGAACAUCAGGAGAAUCAAGUCUGGGAACUCAGGGCUGGCAGCAGGACAGGCCUCAUGCCCCAAGGGUAAUAUGUGACCCAAGCUUAGCCUGCAAAGUAGCUGAACAUGCUGGCUCCCCCUCGCUGCCCUGCCUCCCCUCCUCAAAGCUAGGCAGAACAUCUGGCCUCUUGCUAACCCUCAACAGUUUGGCAAGGACUGUUAGGAACCUGGCUGGGCAGAACCAAAGGUUGGAAUGAGCCAAAGCAGGCCUUACUACCUUACAGAGGACCUGGAGCUUAUAGCUUAGAGAGUGACUACCCCAUCCUAAACAUUGGCUCCUGAAGCCUCUGCAGGGUUCUCUGAGGUUCUGGGUCUGCAGAAGUCGGGGAGCCAUCUAGGAGGAUGUACAGAGAAACACAGAUCUCAGCUCUCUGGCAGAAAAAGAUAAGAAAAAUGUAAAUAGUUGGCGGUCUGACUAAGAAAAUCUCUGCUGGAGUUGUUGUCUUGGCUCAUUGACAUUGAGAGUGACACGGGUCCUACUAAUCAUGCUUACUGAGGUCCUACUAAUCAUGCUUACUGAGGUCCUACUAAUCAUGCUUACUGAGGUCCUACUAAUCAUGCUUACUGAGGUCCUACUAAUCAUGCUUACUGAGGUCCUACUAAUCAUGCUUACUGAGGUCCUACUAAUCAUGCUUACUGGGGUCCUACUAAUCAUGCUUCUCCUGCUUUUGUUUUCUUCUGGGGAAUGAGGCCUGUGUUCACUCUGCUCUUUCUAAGCUGUGGAGAGAAAGGGAGAAAAAGGCUUGCAGACCCAACCUCCAAUACCACAGAAGUCUUUGGUCCCAGUCAAAGCUCUUUGGAGGUGAGUGGAAUUUCAACGAGGCUUCUGGAUGCAGGACAGAGGUUAUGUGGGACACAGGUCAUGAGUUGGACGUUUUUCCAGAGGCUCAUCUUUGCAACCCGGACCCUAGGAAAAAGCCUUUGGAAGUCGUGAUUCUGGAAGCUGUCCAAGGUGAUAGCCAGGAAGCCACAUUGGCCUUGGCCAGUGGUUAGGGAGGAAUCUUCAGUCCCUCCCAGGAUCUGUGACUGUCAUUACUGCUGACAUGAGCUGACUUCAUCGCCCUGCUGGGCCACCAACAGCUCUGCUUCGGACUUACCAAAUCUAGACCCAGCAUGCAGGACCAGUCUCUUCCAGCAGCCCCCAGCAAGGGCGCCAUGGCGGCCACCUACUUUGCUCUGAACAGGACCCCACAGGCACCGAGGCUAGAGCCUGUGCUCUCAUCUAGCUUGGCCCAACGCAGAGGCAUGAAGAGACUCACGUCUACCAGGUUGUAGUGGCCAGCCAAGUCUCCAGCCUCAGUCGCCCUGCCCAACGUCCUCUCAGCCUCACAGACGCCAGACACAGGUCCUGUUCAUGGGCACUUGAGUGCCCAUGAGUCCAGCACAAAGAUGGAUCUGGCCUUGGCUAUCUCUCUGUUUCCUUUGCAGCCCUAGAAAGGGUCCUGCCCAGGAUGUCUGAGCCUUGCUGCGCCGACCUCUCCGCCCGCUCUCUCUCUCCUCCUGAGUGAAACCAAAUGAAUCUGUCACCUCAUAGCACCCUGCUGGGGCCUCCCUGGGCUCACUCAGGGCUCUCAGUGUCUCCAUGUCAUGGCUUAUGCCCAAAGCAGAGCUCUUUUACCAUCCUGAUGUCACCUACGUGUCCCACUGUCUCUCUGAGAGUGUUAGUGCACAGUCCCUGCCUGGAGACAGCAGAGCCACUUUCGAAGAGCUGGAUGUUUCUGGAUGUUCUGGCAAUGCCAGUGGCCCUGUGAAAGCAUCCAGCUUAGAUGCCUGACUCUGUCCACAAUCACCCAAAGAGUGCCUCUCACCACCCUCCUGCUCUCAAGCAAGAUGCUGGGUAGCUUCUCCCUGACUCUGUCACUGACUUGGCAGGAUGAAAGCAACCAACCCAAGAGUCUAGAUGGGUAGAGUCUAUUUGAGAGCGUGAUUUCUGUUGGUUGAGACAGGAGCCCCAGGAAAUUGCCGGGCAGAGCCAGUACCCACUACACUGCUGCCCCCUUAACCCUGUGGCCCCAGGGACACUGGAGAGAGUGGGGCUCUGCCAUUGCUGGGUGUGUUGGCAUCUCUGCUCAUAUUUGCCUGCUGUGGUAUAGCAUAUUCACUCUCUCUCUGCUUUCCUGGGCCACAGAGAAUGUCUUCUCCUCUACCCCUCUAUCCCUUCUUGACUGAGGACAGGAGAGACACCUGAGCCCCUUGCCUUAGACAGGCAGAAGGUGCCUGGACAAGUUGUCAGUGGGAGUGAUGCUCUUCUUAGAAGCUGUGGUCCUAUGUUGCAUCUUGUGUUUCUGUUGUCUAACCUGUUUUCAGGCUGUAGUCUGCGCAGGGAGCAGUAGUUACACGGACCAGGCUAUCUGUGGCAUACUCUUCAUGCAGAGUAACCGAGUGAGACCCUUCCCCCGUGGCGUGCUCCACUCCUCCUGGUCGGAGAGGAGGGACUUGUGUGUCCUGAAGUCUCUCUGGAGGCUGCUGAGGAUAGUGGACUCAGGUCAGAAGACACUCCACUGUGGCUCAGAACCUGCCAGUCUGAGAAGCAGCCCCUCUGCCCAGUAGAGGCACCUGUAGGAGGCGCCUGUUGGCCACAGCAGGCUUACACUAGGAAGACCACAGGUGGACCACGGCUGCUUCUGCAAUGCCUGCCCCAGUGGAAUGUUCAGAACAUAAUUCCUUUGCUCAGUCUAAUUAUUUCAGACCUCAAAACGUAAACGUAUUUCUGAAGCUUUAAUUACUCCACUGGACUCUGUUCUGUUUGAGAAUUAUAAAAUACAGAGUGGGGAUAGACUGUGUGCCAUUUCCAGUGUCCCUGGGGAUGGUCUCCUGCUUUCUCAGUGAAUGCUCUGCCCAAGGCUGAGAUCAUCUCCCAGUUAAUGUUCUGGGCCUGAAUCCUUCCGAUUCUUGAUAGAAAUCCAGAGGGAAAGUAUAGUGGGUAGUCUUAGUGACAGAUUCUGUCCUCUGGGAAAUGAACAGGAGCUCUGGCACCCUCCGAGGGCCUCUCUGGCAUGCACCCUUGCUCCAGCUGCUCACGGCUCAGGCUGGGUUUGCUUGCAGCUUCAAGUGUACAUGUUCUAAUGAAAAGAAAGAACAACAGAACACAGAAGGCAUGGCUGAGGAGGCGAGCAUAACCUGUCCCCUUCAUGGUCAUGUGGCCGCAUCACCUCUUUCAGUAAUGUGAGGUUACCUGCUUUACACUCAGCCUACUCUCGCCAAAGGGAUGGAGGAGACCAUCAGUCAAACCAAACGCAUCCUCUGGAUGUGUCUGGAAGGAUGCUCAGCCUUGCCCUGCAGAGAGUGGAGUACCCCACAUUCCCACCUCACCCAGUACUUGAUACUUGAAAUCUCUUGUGGAGUCAGUCAGAGGAGCACGUGACAGGAUCGUUUUAAUCCCUGUUCUUUAAAGUCUUCAGUGCCACAGCAGUCUGCUGUGGCAUGUAACCCCGUGUCCCCGGUGUUUACCUGGCCUGUGACCCUUUACCCAACACGAGGAAAGGCUCUGUAUUCUCUACACAAAUGACUACUUGUGUAGCUACAGAAUUUGUCAUGGGAAAGCCCAGCCUACAUCCUGGAACUCCUUUACCCAUCCCCAGAGCUACUUUUGGGCUAUCCCACUGCAGCUCCUGCCCUGUUUGGGCUGAGAACAUGAUGAGCGCUCCACUGAAGGAGGUGGGGAUGGGGUGCUUGUCAGAUUCUGUACCCCAGAGUCAAUGGCAGGCAAGCCGUGAACGUCCCCUGUCCUAUGGUUGGAACGUGUGUGAUUUUGAACUACCUGUGUGCACUGGUCUUUGGAUAUUGUUUGGCUUUUUAAGUGAGGAUCGUCCUGAUGGUAUCUAAUGUCAGCAGUAUUCCUGAUUAAAUGGUGUUCUUCCUUAAGAUGCCCGUUGGGAUUUCCCCUGCAUUGUACCGCUUCUCUCAAGCAUAGGAGGAGAUACACCGUGACUCUUCAUUCUCUCUGGCACAUUUUGCUGCCCUUCACCACCCGCAAGACUGUGAGACACCUGGAGUGGGAAAGGUCUCUGGGGUCCCUCUGUGGCAGGGACAGGUGGAAGGGGAAGCCAGCAUGGCUCGUCUGUGCAGGUGAAAGGCACCACCCCACUCCCAGCCUGCGCUGCGUUUACAUGAUCAGCAGUUCCGUUUACAGCUCACUCCAUGUUCACACUUUCUGGCUGUGUGUUGAGACGGCGGCCACUGUACAGAUAUUUAUUAUGCUUUCCAAACUUUCCCAUGAGAUUUUUUGAAUAAACAUGGAUUUUAUGAAGUGUAAUAUUUUUCUGGGAUAAUGAGACCCUUUGCACUUUCUGAGUUGCUAAUAACAGUUCACAGAACGCUCCUUAGUUCCUCUGUCUUCUCCUCUGACUCUAAGUGACUGUGAACCUCUGCUGCCACUGAACUUCGUGGGGAGGAGGCAUAGCACUGGCCUCUCCACUUAAGAGCCUUGCACACACACACACACACACACACACACUUAUUUGUGUAUACAUGCAUUUGUAAUUUAGAGCAUCAGGGAUCUAUCCACUUGAAAAUGUUGUGUAUAUGUGUCUGUGUGCAUUUAUAUAUGUAUACCUCGUGAGAAAAUGAGUC
rnacentral:lncRNA from 1 species